AAAUAAAAAAACAACCUGAUUUUGAUGUCCAGUUUUUUCCAGUCUGCAGAAGAUAGCAAAAUAAACAAACAGCCGAGUUUCAUUUGAUACGGUCCACUCAGUUACACAGUUUAAAUCACCUAUUGUCUGCAGAUGUCUAUUGUCCAUCUAUUGUCCAUUUAAAUCAAUACUACUCACAACAUGUAUUAUAUGAGGGGAGAUUCUCAAACCUCUUUCCCAACUUAGUUUAUUU
rnacentral:lncRNA from 1 species